rnacentral:rRNA from 1 species
GCACUUUAAGCAGUGAAGAAGACUCUUCGGUUAAUACCCGGAGACGAUGACAUUAGCUGCAGAAUGAGCACCGGCUAACUCUGUGCCAGCAGCCGCGGUAAUACAGAGGGUGCAAGCGUUAAUCGGAAUUACUGGGCGUAAAGGGAGCGUAGGUGGCUCGAUAAGUCAGAUGUGAAAUCCCCGGGCUCAACCUGGGAACUGCAUCUGAUACUGUUGAGCUAGAGUAUGUGAGAGGAAGGUAGAAUUCCAGGUGUAGCGGUGAAAUGCGUAGAGAUCUGGAGGAAUACCGAUGGCGAAGGCAGCCUUCUGGCAUAAUACUGACACUGAGGCUCGAAAGCGUGGGUAGCAAACAGGAUUAGAUACCCUGGUAGUCCACGCCGUAAACGAUGUCUACUAGUCGUUGG